UUUCACCCAAGACUCCGCCCCCUUCCCCUUUCCUCUCUCUAUUCUCUCAAACGCCAUAACAAAAUCAGUCACAAAACUUGAACAAAUUGUACAAGGUCACAAAACCCAACCCUAAAUCAUUCUUUUGCUUCCCUAUCCGCGAUUCUCACCGGUGUUUCCCCAUUUUGUCAUACAAAUUUGAAAUAUCGAAGUCCUAUGACCUAGAUGCAAACGUGAAACUUUUAGUCCUCAAAUCCUUCGAUGAUGCAAUGAAAUUCCUCAUGCAUGAGCACCUCAUGAUGAUUAUUCGAAACCAGAGGUCAAAUGCAAUGACCUUUGGAUUUCUGGUCUUUGUCCGAUGGUUUUCUCACAUGUAAUGGCUGUCACCCACUCAGGUAAAAGUCUCACUGAUCUUUCCCCUAUGUUCAUUUUUGAUUUUACUCAAUUGUGCUUGCAUCACCACUCCUCCGUCACUCUUCACUACCGAUUUGAAUUUGUGAACCAUAACGCUUCAAUAGCCACUAUAAUUUGGUGAUUUUAGUAGAGAAAUUGGGGAUUUUGUAGAAACUUUUCAAAAAUGAAAAAUGGAGAUUUGAAGGUCAAUUUGAGGUUGGAAUUGGAUGAUUUUUGUAUGGUUGGACUCAUAAUCGAAUAGGUGUUCGGAAUUUAUGAAUUUUGUCUGGUUCCGAGGUGCGGGCCCGGAGUUGACUUUUUGAUUUUGACAAAGAUCGAAACUUUAUUUUUUGAAGUUGUUUCCUACGGUGUUAUUUGUUGAUAUUGAGUUGUUUGUGACUAGAUUUGAGUCGUUAGGAGGCCGAUACGAUGGGAUUGGCUUCUUGGACUAUGAUUCACGUGUUUUGAGGUAAGUAAUAUUUCUAUACUUGAAAUUGAGGGUAAUUAUCCUUGGAAAACAUGUUUUGCUUGUUGUAUUGGGUGACACACAUGCUAGGUGAUGGGCGUGCACCGUGGUAAUCAUGAUCCAUGUUUAUGUUUGUACUAUGUUGAUAUCAAGUCUUAUUUUAUCCGUGUAAUCCCUGCUUGUUAUAGUAGUUCAUCUAUGAUUCAUGUUAGAAAUUAUGUUUAGGCUAGUGCUUAUUCGGUUGAGACCAAAUGAUGUUAUUUAUGUUGUUUUGAGUUAUCCUCUUUGAUUGUAAUUAUAUGCUCAGUCAUGAUUCUUCAUUUGCAUAUCAUAUCUCAGUCUCCGUUUAUCAUUCAAUGUUACAUCACAUGUUAUCAUUGUUGGGCUGAGUGGUACGAGAUUGUGAACCCUUGAGAGUUGAGAGAUUGAUGACUGAGGUAGGCUUGAGAGAUGAGUUGUGAGAGUUAUUGUGGAUCGGGUUGCAUGCCGCAGCAGGCCAUAUUGGCUUUACUAUUAUUAUUAUGUAGAUCGGGCUAAACGCCGCAGCAGGACUUAUUUGCUUUAUAUUAGCGCUUCAGCAGGAUCCGCCCCUCCAGAGUCAAACAUACCAGAGGGGCAUUGAUGCCAGGCACCCUUACAAUGCUGAGUGAUUGUGUGUGUGUUGAGUGGGCAUUUGACAGACAUAUUGAGUAUUAUGAGAGUGUGAGUACUUGGGAAUAUCACCGUGAAAUCAUUCAUUUGGCAUGUAUAUCUGACAUGUAGGCAUAGAGAUGUACCAUUCCUCAUGCUAGUUGUAAUUGACAUGUUCCUAUCAUUGUUGAGCUUUAAUUAUUGAACUUGAAAGCAUGUCUAAAUUUUCUGUAACUUGAACGAGCUGAUUAUGAUAGUUCAUCUGAGUUGUUUAUUGUUAUUUCCAUCAAUAUACAUGUGUUGUCAUUAUAUUGGACUCUGGCUGUCUUCUUCUGAGCUCGUCACUACUUUCAGCCCAAGGUUAGUUCUAUUACUUAUUGAGUACAUAGGGUCGGUUGUACUCAUACUACACUCUGCACUUCGUGUGCAGAUCUAUAUACAUCUAGACGUGGUGAUUGCUAGAUCCGUCCUAAUACCUGCUAGGAAACUUUAAGGUGGCUGCUAUGACAUCCGCAGACCUUGACUCUCUUUUCCUUUAUUUUCUUUAGUACUGUUCUAUUACUCAAACAGUUGUACUAAGGAUUUGGUUUAUGUUUUGAUACACAGUAUUGCUCAUGUACUCGUUGACACCCGAUUUUGGGGUAGCUGUAGCAUUAUUUCAGUUAUAUGUAUUAGAUAUUUAUGAGAUUUCUGCGGUUGAGUUUAUUAAAACAUAUUUAUUCAAAUGUUUAGC
rnacentral:lncRNA from 1 species